AUGGAAGAUUAUUCACAAAACUCAAAAUGGAAGUAUCAUGUUUUCUUGAGUUUUAGGGGAGAAGACACGCGCUUAGGCUUCACCGAUCACCUAUAUCCAGCUUUGGUGCACAAGGAUGUUCGUUUCAUAGGUAUAUGGGGGAGGUCUCUGGAGAAAGAAAUCAAGGUCUGCUACAGUUACAAAAUAAAAUUCUUUCUCAUCUGA